rnacentral:rRNA from 1 species
GACGAACGCUGGCGGCGUGCUUAACACAUGCAAGUCGAACGGAAAGGCCCUGCUUUUGUGUGGUGCUCGAGUGGCGAACGGGUGUGUAACCCGUGAGUAACCUUCCCUUUACUUUGGGAUAACUUCAGGAAACUGGUGCUAAUACCUGAUAGGAGCUCCUGCUGCAUGGUGGGGUUUGGAAAGUUUCGGCGGUUGGGGAUGGACUCGCGGCUUAUCAGCUUGUUGGUGGGGUAGUGGCUUACCAAGGCUUUGACGGGUAGCCGGCCUGAGAGGGUGACCGGCCACAUUGGGACUGAGAUACGGCCCAGACUCCUACGGGAGGCAGCAGUGGGGAAUAUUGCACAAUGGGCGGAAGCCUGAUGCAGCAACGCCGCGUGCGGGAUGAAGGCCUUCGGGUUGUAAACCGCUUUCGCCUGUGACGAAGCGUGAGUGACGGUAAUGGGUAAAGAAGCACCGGCUAACUACGUG